GACAGAGGGGGCAAGCGUUGCUCGGAAUCACUGGGCGUAAAGGGCGCGUAGGCGGGAUGGCAAGUCGGUCGUGAAAUCCUUCGGCUCAACCGAAGAACGUCGGCCGAUACUGCCGUUCUUGAGGGAUGCAGAGGAGAUUGGAAUUCCCGGUGUAGCGGUGAAAUGUGUAGAGAUCGGGAGGAACACCGGUGGCGAAGGCGGGUCUCUGGGCAUCUCCUGACGCUGAGGCGCGAAAGUGUGGGGAGCAAACGGG
rnacentral:rRNA from 1 species